GCCAAUCCUCGUUAGGCGAGGCUUCUAUGCAAAUACAGGCCACUGCCCGGAAACGUCGAAAGACGCCAAUGGGUAGACCAGGUAUUGCCGGAUUAAGGCUUUAUCUAAGGUGGCUGAGGGUGACCUCUACGUUGCAUAGUGCCAAAGCUCAACUAGGGGGAUGAAG
rnacentral:sRNA from 1 species